UACGGAGGAUGCAAGCAUUAUCCGGAAUGAUUGGGCGUAAAGCGUCCGCAGGUGGCUAUGUAAGUCUGCUGUUAAAGAGUGAGGCUCAACCUCAUAAGAGCAGUGGAAACUACAUGGCUAGAGUGCGUUCGGGGCAGAGGGAAUUCCUGGUGUAGCGGUGAAAUGCGUAGAUAUCAGGAAGAACACCGGUGGCGAAAGCGCUCUGCUAGACUGCAACUGACACUCAGGGACGAAAGCUAGGGGAGCGAAUGGG
rnacentral:rRNA from 1 species